CACACUAUGUUUUUUUAAUUUGAAACUUUUGCUUUGGUCUGGCUUAGUAAAAUAGGUUGGGCCAAAGGUUUCUACUAAACUUCAAUAUUUAUAUUGAAUUGUUAUAUUAAUUUUUAUUGUCAAUUUGUUGAUUAAAUUCAAAAAAUCUUCAAAACUUUCAACAACGGAUCUCUUGGUUCUCGCAUCGAUGAAGAACGCAGCGAAAUGCGAUAAGUAAUAUGAAUUGCAGAUUUUCGUGAAUCAUCGAAUCUUUGAACGCACAUUGCGCCCUUUGGUAUUCCAAAGGGCAUGCCUGUUUGAGCGUCAUUUCUCUCUCAAAUCUUCGGAUUUGGUUUUGAGUGAUACUCUUAGUCGGACUAGGCGUUUGCUUGAAAUGUAUUGGCAUGAGUGGUACUAGAUAGUGCUGAACUGUUUUUCAAUGUAUUAGGUUUAUCCAACUCGUUGAUAUCAGAUUGGUAUUUGUUUAAUACUUAGGCUCGGCCUUACAACAACAAACAAAGUUUGACCUCAAAUCAGGUAGGACUACCCGCUGAACUUAAGCAUAUCAAU
rnacentral:rRNA from 1 species